rnacentral:rRNA from 1 species
AGCGAACGCUGGCGGCAGGCCUAACACAUGCAAGUCGAACGAAGUCUUCGGACUUAGUGGCGGACGGGUGAGUAACACGUGGGAACGUGCCUUUAGGUUCGGAAUAACUCAGGGACACUUGUGCUAAUACCGAAUGUGCCCUUCGGGGGAAAGAUUUAUCGCCUUUAGAGCGGCCCGCGUCUGAUUAGCUAGUUGGUGGGGUAAUGGCCCACCAAGGCUACGAUCAGUAGCUGGUCUGAGGGGAUGACCAGCCACAUUGGGACUGAGACACGGCCCAAACUCCUACGGGAGGCAGCAGUGGGGAAUCUUGCGCAAUGGGCGAAAGCCUGACGCAGCCAUGCCGCGUGGAUGAUGAAGGUCUUAGGAUUGUAAAAUCCUUUCACCGGUGAAGAUAAUAACUGUAGCCGGAGAAGAAGCCCCGGCUAACUUCGUGCCAGCAGCCGCCGUAAAAC